rnacentral:lncRNA from 1 species
CCCCCUUUCUUUACUUUUGUGCAAUACAACAAGUUGUUUCGAACUUCCUAAAGCUUGGUUAUCAGCUUGGGUGUGAAAUUAUGACUUGUGGUCCUCCGUUCAUUACACAUACAAGGUAUGCUAAAGCUGUCAUAUUAAUGCUUAGUAUAUGAUAAAACACAGAAAAAUUGAUUUGCUGUGGUUAGAUGUUGAUGUUGAUAAAGUUGUCCAUAUUGAUGUUACUGUUACAUUUUAUCACAUACAGUAGCCACAAACUGUUGUCAGUCAAU